UGUGAAUAUGGAACCCAUGGAUGUGGGGACCUACUGAUCUGUGAUAGUCAGUGGAUCUACAAGGUUUAUGGCUAGAAGUCCCACAAAAAGGGUCAGUUUUAGAGAUACUGGUUCUAUUAAAGUAACACCAGCUAUGGCAACAGAUAGACCAGAAUGUAUAUCAGCUCAAACUAAAUAGUUUUCCCUCAUUUCUGAGGUCAAUAUUCCUUGCUGGUGGAUGAUUUUGCACCAUGUGGUGAUUUGAAGACUAGGCCUUGUUCAGUUUACAGAUCCACUAUACCCUAAGGCUUUGUCAUAGUCAUGCACAGCCAGUGGAUAGGAAGGAGGGUUACAAAGCCUUGGACUAUAGGGGGCACUCAUCACUUCUGCUUCCUCUCCACUGGCUGUCUCUUAUACACAGCAUCACUCCUACUUGUAAAAAGCCUAUGGGAUAUGGGCCCAGAAGAAUUCGAUUUUUGAUGACUAGUCACUGUGCUCUUUUACUCACUAUAUAUCUGCUUGAGGGGACCACCCAAAGGCUCUUCAGAAGCAGUUUUCUCCAAUAAGUCCAGGUAUGGCUCUUUACGCUCUAAGACAAACAAACUAACAAGCAGAUUACCUGCCCCCUGCACCCUCCCUUCUACCAUUUAUGGUGCUCGGCAGAGACAGGAUAUCCACAAUAACAUCUCCCUUUCAGAACAGGAGGAACGCAGAGGUGUGUGAUCACAGACUCAGGUCAUGAUGACACCUGUCUCCGUGGGCAUGGCAAAGACUCCCUGAUUUGGCAGUGGAGAAAGGUUCUUAGUUGGACCCAGCAUCUGCUCUCUGGUAUCUCUGGAACUAACUGUCCUGUUCUCUGGUUUUCUCUAGGAGGUUCUCCUUUGCUCAUUAUUCUUCCUGGCCACAUCUGAAGUGGAUAUAGAUCAGGAAAUGGAAACACCGAGAAAUUAGGUAACUUGCUGACACUCAUACAACUAGUGAUAUGGACAGGAGACCAGGAAAUACUGGGUAGAAGAGAGCAGUUCCUAGGCAAAGACCCCACCCUCAAGCCUGUACACCCAUGGCCCUAAAUGAGAUCAGGCAUUCCUGUUUUUGUGCCCAAAAAGUUGCCUUUUGGCCUGCAAUGCCCCCUAUCCUGCACCCAUAUAAACCCUGAACAGCAGGCUUCAGAAACAGACCAGCAGACAGAUGGCAGAACGAUGCGGCAGAGAGAGAGAGAGAAGAGGAACAUCUGAACUCCAAAAGGAGUUCGGCUGUGGGGUGGUUGGAGAGGAGUCGGGCCUAGUCCCGCUCCCUAUCCAUCCCACUGAAAGCCACCUCCACCACUCAAUAAAACCUUGCAUUCAUCCUUCAA